UGUUGUGAAACCUCUUCCACCUCUCAUGGCGUACAAUGUCUCCCGCAACUUGAACUUCUUCACUCGUAUUUUCACACAAUUUUUUGAUCCUGAAGGUAUUGCAAGUGCGCAGAAAUCACUUGGGAUAGGGCAGGAAGAAAAAGUUCGUAAAGUUCGUUGAUCCAUAGCAAGGAAUUUAGAGUGCAGUAAUAAACAUUUUGUAAUUCUAGUUUUGACUGUGUUUGGUGUUGAAUGUUCUGUCCUUGAUAGUAUAUUGUCUCUUAAUGACGAGAAAUUCAAUUUCACAA